rnacentral:rRNA from 1 species
AUUGAACGCUGGCGGCAGGCCUAACACAUGCAAGUCGAACGAGUGGCGGACGGGUGAGUAAUGUCUGGGAAACUGCCUGAUGGAGGGGGAUAACUACUGGAAACGGUAGCUACUACCGCAUACCAUCGGAUGUGCCCAGAUGGGAUUAGCUAGUAGGUGGGGUAAGGGCUCACCUAGGCGACGAUCCCUAGCUGGUCUACGUGGAUGACCAGACACACUGGAACGGGGACACGGUCAAGAUUCCUACGGUGGGCAGAAGUGGGGAAUAUUGCACAAGGGGCGCAAGCCUGAUGCAGCCAGGCGGCGUGUAUGAAGAAGGCCUUCGGGUUGUAAAGUACUUUCAGCGGGGAGGCGUUACCCGCAGAAGAAGCACCGGCUAACUCCGUGCCAGCAGCCGCGGUAAUUC